UACGGGGGGGGCAAGCGUUGUUCGGAAUUACUGGGCGUAAAGGGCUCGUAGGCGGCCAACUAAGUCAGACGUGAAAUCCCUCGGCUUAACCGGGGAACAGCGUCUGAUACUGGAUGGCUUGAAUCCGGGAGAGGGAUGCGGAAUUCCAGGUGUAGCGGUGAAAUGCGUAGAUAUCUGGAGGAACACCGGUGGCGAAGGCGGCAUCCUGGACCGGCAUUGACGCUGAGGAGCGAAAGCCAGGGGAGCAAACGGG
rnacentral:rRNA from 1 species